rnacentral:tRNA from 1 species
GCUGGUGUGGCUCAGUGGAUAGAGCAUCGGCCUGCAGGCUGAGGAGUCCUGGGUUCGAUUCCAGUCAAGGGCA